CCUACGGGAGGCAGCAGUAGGGAAUCUUCCACAAUGGGCGAAAGCCUGAUGGAGCAACGCCGCGUGAGUGAAGAAGGUCUUCGGAUCGUAAAGCCGUGUUGUUAGAGAAGAAAGUGCGUGAGAGUAACUGUUCACGUUUCGACGGUAUCUAACCAGAAAGCCACGGCUAACUACGUGCCAGCAGCCGCGGUAAUACGUAGGUGGCAAGCGUUAUCCGGAUUUAUUGGGCGUAAAGGGAACGCAGGCGGUCCUGUAAGUCUGAUGUGAAAGCCAUCGGCUUAACCGGAGUAGUGCAUUGGAAACUGGGGGACUUGAGAGCAGAAGAGGGGAGUGGAACUCCAUGUGUAGCGGUGAAAUGCGUAGAUAUAUGGAAGAACACCAGUGGCGAAAGCGGCUGUCUGGUCUGUAACUGACGCUGAGGUUCGAAAGCGUGGGGAGCAAACAGGAUUAGAUACCCGAGUAGUC
rnacentral:rRNA from 1 species